rnacentral:siRNA from 1 species
UCCUGAACCACAGUGCCGUUGCAG